UUUAUGGAGAGUUUGAUCCUGGCUCAGGAUGAACGCUGGCGGCGUGCCUAAUACAUGCAAGUCGAGCGAACGGACGAGAAGCUUGCUUCUCUGAUGUUAGCGGCGGACGGGUGAGUAACACGUGGAUAACCUACCUAUAAGACUGGGAUAACUUCGGGAAACCGGAGCUAAUACCGGAUAAUAUUUUGAACCGCAUGGUUCAAAAGUGAAAGACGGUCUUGCUGUCACUUAUAGAUGGAUCCGCGCUGCAUUAGCUAGUUGGUAAGGUAACUGCUUACCAAGGCAACGAUGCAUAGCCGACCUGAGAGGGUGAUCGGCCACACUGGAACUGAGACACGGUCCAGACU
rnacentral:rRNA from 1 species